rnacentral:sRNA from 1 species
CCAGGUUGGUCGCCGCGCUCUCCCGUCCCUCGAAGCGGCGACGGCCCGAUGGAACGACACGCCCAUCGGCGGCGCGUCCUGGUGAAGACCGGGGCGCGCC